UACGUAGGGUGCGAGCGUUAAUCGGAAUUACUGGGCGUAAAGCGUGCGCAGGCGGCGCGUUAAGACAGGUGUGAAAGCCCCGAGCUUAACUUGGGAAUUGCGCUUGUGACUGGCGAGCUGGAGUGUGGCAGAGGGAGGUGGAAUUCCACGUGUAGCAGUGAAAUGCGUAGAGAUGUGGAGGAACACCGAUGGCGAAGGCAAUCCCCUGGGCCUGCACUGACGCUCAUGCACGAAAGCGUGGGGAGCAAACAGG
rnacentral:rRNA from 1 species